rnacentral:tRNA from 1 species
GGAGCGGUGGCAGAGUGGUCGAAUGCGCCGGACUCGAAAUCCGGUAUACGUGCAAACGUAUCGAGGGUUCGAAUCCCUCCUGCUCCGCCA